CCUACGGGAGGCAGCAGUAGGGAAUCUUUCACAAUGGGCGAAAGCCUGAUGGAGCAACGCCGCGUGCAGGAUGCAGGCCUUCGGGUUGUAAACUGCUUUUAUAAGCGAGAAAUAUGAUGGUAACUUAUGAAUAAGGAUCGGCUAACUACGUGCCAGCAGCCGCGGUCAUACGUAGGAUCCGAGCAUUAUCCGGAGUGACUGGGUGUAAAGAGUUGCGUAGGUGGCAUAAUAAGUAGCUAGUGAAAUCUGGUGGCUCAACCAUUCAGACUAUUAGCUAAACUGUUAAGCUCGAGACCGUUAGGGGUAACUGGAAUUUCUAGUGUAGGAGUGAAAUCCGUAGAUAUUAGAAGGAACACCAAUAGCGUAGGCAGGUUGCUGGGACGGUUCUGACACUAAGGCACGAAAGCGUAGGGAGCAAACGGGAUUAGAUACCCCUGUAGUC
rnacentral:rRNA from 1 species